AGAGGAAGUAAAAGUCGUAACAAGGUUUCCGUACCUGAGCCUGCGGAAGGAUCAUUAUUGAAAUAAACCUGAAGAGUUGUUGCUGGUUCUCUAGGGAGCAUGUGCACGCUUGUCGUCUUUAUAUUUCCACCUUGUGCACCUUUUGUAGACCUGGAUAUCUCUCCAAGCAUUUGGGUUUGAGGGGUUGACUUUUUGGGUCUCCCUUUAUAUUUCCAGGCCUAUGUUUCUUUCAUAUACCCCACUUGUGUUAUAGAAUGUAAUAAAUGGGCCUUUGUGCCUGUAAACCUAUACAACUUUCAGCAACGGAUCUCUUGGCUCUCGCAUCGAUGAAGAACGCAGCGAAAUGCGAUAAGUAAUGUGAAUUGCAGAAUUCAGUGAAUCAUCGAAUCUUUGAACGCACCUUGCGCUCCUUGGUAUUCCGAGGAGCAUGCCUGUUUGAGUGUCAUUAAUAUAUCAACCUCCUCAACUUGUUGAGUGUUGGAUGUGGGGGUUCUUUCAAUGCUGGCUUCACGGUCAGCUCCCUUGUAGUGCAUUAGUCCAACAACUGGUUCACAAGUUCAUUGGCGUGAUAACUAUCUACGCACGUUGACAGUGAAGCGGGUUCAGCUUCUAACAGUGAAUUAAAUUGGACAAAUUCGAAUUAAUGUGACCUCAAAUCAGGUAGGACUACGAGCUGAACAAUCGCAUAUCAAUAAGCGGAGGAA
rnacentral:rRNA from 1 species